CGGGGCUUCAUAAUCAUCUCGUGAAUGAUGAAUGCACCCAGAUCUGUCUCUUCUUCUGUCAUUUCUAACCAGCAAAUCUCUGUGUGUAAAAGACAUUCCUGUUAGCAGGAGCAAAGAACAGGACCUCGCACUUCUCUGCUUCAGACUCCCUGACAUGCUUACUCUGAAGUUGAUGGAUAUGCUGCAAAUCUUUGCUCUCAAAACUGCUGCUUCCCUAGAUGGCUUUGAAAAAAAACAACCCACAAAUAUCAAGGCAGCAUGAAGGGAGGAAGGUGGCUAUAAAGGAUACUUUGAGGAAGAAGAGAGAAGUAAGAGAGAUGUCAGUGCCAGGCUGGAGCUACUCUUCCAAGGCAUAAGAUUGAAUAUAUUUGCUGCGUUGCAGAACGAGGAGAGAAAUGUCACCUUCAGAGGUGAUCUGACAAUCACAAAAAUAAAUUACAUAGAGGAGAGGAAAAAAAAAAACAACCACAACAAGAUGAGCAUUUGUGAAUAUUCAUGAGCAAGUCAAAACCCCCAAAUUAACAAGGAAAUUAAUUUCCAAACUGAUUAGGCUGCCAACUCCUUUUAUUUAAAUAAAUCAACAAUUGCCUU